CCCUCGUCUGCACUGUAUUAGAGCGUUGCGUUACCACGGCAAGGCUCUUAUACAUUCCCCGGCAGUGGCUUUGAAGGUGCCUGCAGACAUGCUUCAUCUCUCGGUGGACAAUCUAGGAUCAGGAUUCCCACCUCCUGGGCUCAAGGUAAACCUCAAGGAGGGGAGAAUACAUUUUAAUUUUGUUCCUUUUUUUCUUAGACAAAAAU